UACGUAGGGUGCGAGCGUUGCCCGGAUUUAUUGGGCGUAAAGAGCGCGCAGGCGGUCGUUCAAGUCGCGUGUGAAAGCCCCCGGCUCAACUGGGGAGGGUCACGCGAUACUGAUCGACUCGAAGGCAGGAGAGGGUAGUGGAAUCCCCGGUGUAGUGGUGAAAUGCGUAGAUAUCGGGAGGAACACCAGUGGCGAAGGCGACUACCUGGCCUGUUCUUGACGCUGAGGCGCGAAAGCUAGGGGAGCAAACGGGG
rnacentral:rRNA from 1 species